CACGUAGGGGGCAAGCGUUGUCCGGAAUUAUUGGGCGUAAAGAGCUCGUAGGCGGCUCGGUAAGUCAGGUGUCAAAUCCUCAGGCUCAACCUGGGGCUCCACCUGAUACUGCUGUGGCUAGAGUCCGGUAGGGGAGCGUGGAAUUCCUGGUGUAGCGGUGAAAUGCGUAGAUAUCUGGAGGAACACCAAUGGCGAAGGCAGCUCGCUGGGACGGUACUGACGCUGAGGCGCGAAAGCGUGGGGAGCAAACAGG
rnacentral:rRNA from 1 species